CAGUAGCCACGGGAAUACGUAGGGCGCAAGCGUUGUCCGGAAUUAUUGGGCGUAAAGAGCUCGUAGGCGGUCUGUCGCGUCUGGUGUGAAAUCCCGAGGCUCAACCUCGGGCUUGCAUCGGGUACGGGCAGACUAGAGUGCGGUAGGGGAGACUGGAAUUCCUGGUGUAGCGGUGGAAUGCGCAGAUAUCAGGAGGAACACCGAUGGCGAAGGCAGGUCUCUGGGCCGCAACUGACGCUGAGGAGCGAAAGCAUGGGGAGCGAACAGGAUUAGAUGCCCCGGUAGUCCCUGUCUCUUAUAC
rnacentral:rRNA from 1 species